rnacentral:rRNA from 1 species
AUGCGGCAACUCGCGGCUCGAAGACAAUCUUUUGUGGUGGGGCGUCGCCGCCGCCGGCGGCACCUGCAUAGACCGUAUCGCUGGGAACGAAGAGAUGCUCCCCUGAUUUGGAGCUGUAGAAAGGAAGUGGUUGCAGACACAAAGUGGGGACACACAACUCCCAGUCAUAAUAUUCUUUAUCUUGGCUCGUUGUUUGGGGAUGGACGCAUCAAUCUGAUGGCGCUCUUCUCCAUGCCAAACGGAUCCUUGGUUCGGAGGCGCGCGGCGCCGACGAUGACAGCCUUUCUAUCGACGCAAGGGCAGCAGGAGCUCAUGACGUUGUUGAUGCCACCACCAUGCAUGGGGUUGAUGCAAGGUGGGACAAUGUGA